rnacentral:rRNA from 1 species
UAUACCGUGAAACUGCGAAUGGCUCAUUAAAUCAGUUAUCGUUUAUUUGAUAGUACCUUACUACUUGGACAACCGUGGUAAUUCUAGAGCUAAUACAUGCUGACAACCUCGACUUACGAAGAGGUGUAUUUAUUAGAUAAAAAACCCAACGCCUUCGGGGCUUCUUGGUGAUUCAUAAUAACUUUACGGAUCGCAUGGCCUUGCGCCGGGCGACGGUUCAUUCAAAUUUCUGCCCUAUCAACUUUCGAUGGUAAGGUAUUGGCUUACCAUGGUUUCAACGGGUAACGGGGAAUUAGGGUUCGAUUCCGGAGAGGGAGCCCGAGAAACGGCUACCACAUCCAAGGAAGGCAGCAGGCGCGCAAAUUACCCAAUCCCGAUACGGGGAGGUAGUGACAAUAAAUACUGAUACAGGGCUCUUUUGGGUCUUGUAAUUGGAAUGAGUACAAUUUAAACCUCUUAACGAGGAACAAUUGGAGGGCAAGUCUGGUGCCAGCAGCCGCGGUAAUUCCAGCUCCAAUAGCGUAUAUUAAAGUUGUUGCAGUUAAAAAGCUCGUAGUUGAACCUUGGGUCUGGCUGGCAGGUCCGCCUCACCGCGUGUACUUGUCCGGCCGGGCCUUCCUUCUGGAGAACCUCAUGCCCUUCACUGGGCGUGUUGGGGACCAGGACUUUUACUUUGAAAAAAUUAGAGUGUUCAAAGCAGGCCUUUGCUCGAAUACGUUAGCAUGGAAUAAUAGAAUAGGACGUGCGGUCCUAUUUUGUUGGUUUCUAGGACCGCCGUAAUGAUUAAUAGGGACAGUCGGGGGCAUCAGUAUUCAAUUGUCAGAGGUGAAAUUCUUGGAUUUAUUGAAGACUAACUACUGCGAAAGCAUUUGCCAAGGAUGUUUUCAUUAAUCAGUGAACGAAAGUUAGGGGAUCGAAGACGAUCAGAUACCGUCGUAGUCUUAACCGUAAACUAUGCCGACUAGGGAUCGGGCGAUGUUAUUUUUCUGACUCGCUCGGCACCUUACGAGAAAUCAAAGUUUUUGGG